CCUACGGGAGGCAGCAGUAAGGAAUAUUGGACAAUGCUCGCAAGAGUGAUCCAGCCAUGCCGCGUGCAGGAAGAAUGCCCUAUGGGUAGUAAACUGCUUUUGAACUAGAGAAAACCCCAGUACGUGUACUGGGCUGAUAGUAUAGUUAGAAUAAGCAUCGGCUAACUUCGUGCCAGCAGCCGCGGUAAGACGAAGGAUGCAAGCGUUAUCCGGAUUCAUUGGGUUUAAAGGGAGCGUAGGUGGACUGAUAAGUCAGUGGUGAAAUCUCCGAGCUUAACUCGGAAAUUGCCAUUGAUACUGUUGGUCUUGAGUACAGUUGCUGUGGGCGGAAUAUGACAUGUAGUGGUGAAAUACAUAGAGAUGUCAUAGAACACCGAUUGCGAAGGCAGCUCACAAAGCUGUAACUGACACUGAGGCUCGAAAGUGCGGGGAUCAAACAGGAUUAGAUACCCUGGUAGUCCGCACCGUAAACGAUGAUUACUCGCUGCUAGGGGGCAACCUUUAGUGGCUUAGCGAAAGCGAUAAGUAAUCCACCUGGGGAGUACGCCGGCAACGGUGAAACUCAAAUGAAUUGACCGGNGNGAGAGNGCGAGCGACGACGAGGGAGAGG
rnacentral:rRNA from 1 species